GCACUAAGAAAACAAGCUGCCAAAUCUGAGCAUCAGAAGACCUUUUGGUCUGCUUGGUGCAUGUUCUCUAUAGUUCUGAGA